ensembl:lncRNA
GCAAUUUUUGGACUAAAACCUUUUAUAGAACAGAAUGUUGAAACAUGCACAUGCUCAGAUGAGAGAUUUUUUUUUGCAUGCAUUUGUGGUAAACUUGUCACUGAAUUGCUUGUAUAGGCUUUGAUACUCAAAUGGAUUUUGAAAUCCAAGUUUUAAAAAAUGAAAUGCAAAGCAUGCCAGAGACUUUUUUGUCAGUUUUUCAUUUCACCACCCAUAUUAGUGGAGUAGUAAAGAUUGUUCUACCAUAAUGACAAGUGACAAGAUAACAAGAAAUGCAUGUCUGCAGCUUUAAUGCAGAUUUUAUAGAGAUUAAGGGAGCAGUUCAAAAUGGCACUAUAUGUCAAAAAGCUUAGCAUCCUCUGAAUGGAAAAACUGAGAGAUUGCAAAAGAGUAAAAACUAUCAACAAACAGCAAAUAAUGAGUUUUGUCUUGUUUUUUAUUUUAAUUUUUUUUUUCUCGGUACAAAUAUCUAAACAUUCCUAAAUCAAGAUAGAUUUACCUGAGAAUCUAAAUGACAUAUUAAUUCUUGUUUUCUGAAAAAAUGGGAAUUCUGAAGUGAGUUUAUGCUUAAAACAAGAGGGAAAAAUUAAUCUAAAAGAAAGCUGUUCUCAUAUUAAUUAAACCCUCUAUAGUUUCUGUGGUUCUGAACAAAAGCUGCAAAUCAAAAAACCUUGUACAUUACAACACUGAUCUACAUAACGUGACAAACAUAAGCAUGUUUACAUGAGCUACAGGCAACUGUUGACAAUGGCUUUCCUUUAGUAUGAUAUUUAUAACUAACCCAUUUGAACCCCCCGGUUGGCUUGUUUCUUCAGGCUCUGGCUGGUCGAUGGUGAGUAGCUGGUGAGUCAUGAACUAACAGCAGAGUGUGGUUCCUGAUGCGGUCCGAGCCAGAGUGAGUUGGAUCUCACAUCUGGUUCUGAUGUUCCCAUCUACCUCACCCUGCAGACAGAUCCGAAUCUGGCUUGGGGGAUGACGAAUGGCCCAAAGAGCUCAUUACAAUCCUUGCUGAACGUCACACUCAUUUUAGACUGCAGAACAAUGGCCUUUGCAUUCUCCUCUCCCACAUCAUCAGCUCAAGAAACAUGAGCCCAUUGGAUGACAAACAUUCUCCAGUCCUCACCUCCAGCGUUUUGAGAGUUGGUCUAAAACCUGAGAAGGAAAUCCCAGAAUGCAUUGCAAUAAACCCAGUGAGGUGGAAAUAUCCAAGAUGGCAGACAAGCUGCUUGAGGAUGUGAGAUUUACAGACUGAGAGAAAGAGACCCGAGGAGGAAAAUGGCAUGAAAAGAGGGAGUCAUUGGGAGAUAAAAAAGUUCAAGUUCACAAUAAGAGAAAAGUUAAGUUAUCUCUUUCUUUAUCUUCCAGUUCAUGCAUCUUAGCCUUCCUGACAUCCUACUGUUUACUUUCUUAAUGCAUUUUUCUGGUCUUAUUAAGAACUAUUUCAGAGAAGUAAUACUUUAUAUUGUGUCAAAAUGUAGUACCUUUUUCCACUACUGAAAAGGCUUUCCUUUUUGGCUAAUGUCACUUUAUUCUGGCUUGAAAAACCCUCUUUUUAAGGUCAGUUGCCAAUCAGGUACCAAAAAAUCAAAUCAAGUCCCACCCUGCAAUAUUUCUGCAUUCAAUUUUAUUUCCUUAAGGAAAUAUAAAUUCAAUUAAUUAACAUGUAACUUUCAUUCAUAUCAUUAACAAAUAUUGUCAUCAGAUUAUUAGUUAAACUUGUAAAGCCUAUGAAAUAAUAGUCAGAAUAUAUAUAUAUAUAUAUAUAUAUAUAUAUAUAUAUAUAUAUUAAUGGAACCUUUUAUUGAACCUCUAAUAUGUUUUUGUAAGAUGAUAUUUAAAUGCUUAGUUUUAUGAUCAAAGAUCAAAGUAGUUUUUAAACAUAUAAUGCAAUGCAAUACAGUGAUGUUUGAGAGAUGAACAAAUAAACUUUCCUCAAAAGCGUGAUGCA